rnacentral:rRNA from 1 species
AUACGGAGGAUGCGAGCGUUAUCCGGAUUUAUUGGGUUUAAAGGGAGCGUAGGCGGGAGCUUAAGUCAGCGGUUAAAUGGUGCGGCUCAACCGUGCCCUGCCGUUGAAACUGGGUUUCUUGAGAGUGCAAGAGGCGGAUGGAAUUCUUGGGGUAGCGGUGAAAUGCUUAGAUAUCAUGAAGAACUCCGAUUGCGAAGGCAGUCCGCUGGGGCACGUCUGACGCUGAUGCUCGAAGGUGCGGGAAUCAAACAGGAUUAGAUACCCUGGUAGUCCGCACGGUAAACGAUGAUUACCCGCUGUCGGCGGCAGACAGUCGGCGGCCAAGCGAAAGCGAUAAGUAAUCCACCUGGGGAGUACGCCGGCAACGGUGAAACUCAAAGGAAUUGACGGGG